CGCAGAAUUAGGAGAAAGUCUUUGGCUGGGGCUGGUUCAAGUCCCUGGUUCAAUGGGCUGCGGGAAGCCAGGACUGGAUUUUUUGGUUUACUCAUUUGAGAAACAGAGAGAGCAUACAGGGGAGAGGCAGAGGGAAAAGGAGAAGACUGACUCCGCUGAGCAGGGAGCCCAAAGUGGGGCUCCAUCCGGACCUAGAGAUCAUGACCUGAGCCAAAGACAGCCAGUUCACCAACUGAGCCACUCAGCUUCAUCCUAUAAUGUGAUGGGUAACCGGACCAACAGGAGUUCGUGAGUUCAUUCUUUGAUGAAGAACUUGAACUAGGAUGGAAGAAAUGAUUUGCCCAAGGUGACCUGCCUUGCAGAAGGAGCCCCACACUCUGUUUUUCCUCCAGUCUCAUGUUUUCUCAAAUCCACCACUUUGCCUUUUAACCAAAUGAUGGUUUUCCACCAUUUUAUCUUAAUGAAGAACUCUGCCACAGGCAUUGGCUUCUUAGAAUCACUCUGCAGGUGGUCUCUCCUUUUGCCAAUGGAAAGAUACAAAUUGGAAGAAGAAACGACCUUCUGUUUCUUCAGUGCCUCCAACAGACCAGCUACACCUGAGGGUGACUUUGCUUUUUCCAGUUGGUGAAGAUGGCAAGUUUGCUGAAAAUCCUGUCACUUGUUAAGAUAAGGCAGGAAUGUGUGCUGCCUAAGUAGGCGGUAGUUUUUAAGUAAAAACAUGUUAUUCAUUUUAGGAAGGGACUGAUUCUAUCCUAUUCUUUGAUUAAUCCCUAGCAUCUAGCACACUGCCUGGUACGUGUUAGAUACUAAAAAUAUACAUAUUCCUAUAAAAGGAGGGAAGGAGCAAAGACAAAAGGGAGUCUAAUGCUGAUAUCUUCUACAAAACAUUAUUCUUUAACAAUAACUGUCAUUGGCUUAUUUUUAUUUUGAUAGAUGAAAUUUUAACAUCCCCAAACAUCCACAGUAACUGACCCAAGUAAGAUUAAAUCAGUCUUCAAAGGUUCUUUGUUCUUUUAUCUCUCUCCAAAUACUCCCAUUUAUAUUUUGAAAUAUGGGCUCUAAUCUAAAAGGCUAAGAGUUUUUAUUUUGGGGGGAAAUAGUGACAUUUGGAUCCUUAGGGGAAAUAAUUGUGGUUUAAAAAUAGUUGUUUUAACAAAUUGGCAUAAAUCAUCCUUAUUCUAAGUUUCACAACUAUUCCUAUUCUUCGUAGAGUCUAACAUAAAAAUG